AUGAAGCCAAAGAAGAACGUGAUGCAUAUAUUUUGGGCAGAUUUCACUGGAAUAAGGAACUAUCAACAGUAUGGUGAUCUUCUCAGUUUCGACACAACCUACAAGACCAACAAAUACAAUCUGAAAUUUUCUCCAUUUGUGGGAGUAAAUGGUCAUGGUGACAAAUGCCUUUUUGCAUGUGGUUUCAUUCAAGAUGAGAAUAAAGAAACAUCCGAGUGGCUCUUCAAUGCAUUUCUGAAAUGCAUGAGAGGGAAAGGUCCUAAAUCUGUCAUAACGGAUCAAGACGCAACUAUGAAAAAAGCAGUACCUAAAUGA
rnacentral:rRNA from 1 species